UACGGAGGGGGCUAGCGUUGUUCGGAAUUACUGGGCGUAAAGGGCUCGUAGGCGGCCAAACUAAGUCAGACGUGAAAAUCCCCUCGGCUAACCGGGGAACUGCGUCUGAUACUGGAUGGCUUGAGUUUGGGGAGAGGGAUGCGGAAUUCCAGGUGUAGCGGUGAAAUGCGUAGAUAUCUGGAGGAACACCGGUGGCGAAGGCGGCAUCCUGGACCAACACUGACGCUGAGUGAGCGAAAAGCCCAGGGGG
rnacentral:rRNA from 1 species